rnacentral:rRNA from 1 species
AACGCGAAGAACCUUACCUGGACUAGAAUGUGAGGGAAUGUCGGGUAAUGCCGACAGUCCGGGAAACCGGACCCAAAACAAGGUGCUGCAUGGCUGUCGUCAGCUCGUGUCGUGAGAUGUUGGGUUAAGUCCCGCAACGAGCGCAACCCUUAUCAACAGUUGCCAUCAUUAAGUUGGGAACUCUGUUGAGACUGCCGUUGAUAAAACGGAGGAAGGUGGGGAUGAUGUCAAGUCAUCAUGGCCUUUAUGUUCAGGGCUACACACGUGCUACAAUGGCCGGUACAAAACGUCGCAAUCUCGUAAGAGGGAGCUAAUCGCAAAAACCGGUCUCAGUUCGGAUUGAAGUCUGCAACUCGACUUUAUGAAGUUGGAAUCGCUAGUAAUCGCAAAUCAGCAUGUUGCGGUGAAUACGUUCCCGGGUCUGUACACACCG